AGUCGGCCUGCGCGGAAGAUGUAACGGGGCUCAAACCAUGCACCGAAGCUACGGGUAUCACCUUUUGGUGAUGCGGUAGAGGAGCGUUCUGUAAGCCUGUGAAGGUGAGUUGAGAAGCUUGCUGGAGGUAUCAGAAGUGCGAAUGCUGACAUGAGUAACGACAAUGCGAGUGAAAAACUCGCACGCCGAAAGACCAAGGUUUCCUGCGCAACGUUAAUCGACGCAGGGUUAGUCGGUCCCUAAGGCGAGGCUGAAAAGCGUAGUCGAUGGAAAACAGGUUAAUAUUCCUGUACUUCCAGUUAUUGCGAUGGAGGGACGGAGAAGGCUAGGCCAGCUUGGCGUUGGUUGUCCAAGUUUAAGGUGGUAGGCUGAAAUCUUAGGCAAAUCCGGGAUUUCAAGGCCGAGAGCUGAUGACGAGUUGCCAUUAGGCGACGAAGUGGUUGAUGCCAUGCUUCCAAGAAAAGCUCCUAAGCUUCAGAUAACUGGGAACCGUACCCCAAACCGACACAGGUGGUUAGGUAGAGAAUACCAAGGCGCUUGAGAGAACUCGGGUGAAGGAACUAGGCAAAAUGGCACCGUAACUUCGGGAGAAGGUGCGCCGGUGAGGGUGAAGCACUUGCUGCGUAAGCCCACGCCGGUCGAAGAUACCAGGCCGCUGCGACUGUUUAUUAAAAACACAGCACUCUGCAAACACGAAAGUGGACGUAUAGGGUGUGACGCCUGCCCGGUGCCGGAAGGUUAAUUGAUGGGGUUAGCGCAAGCGAAGCUCUUGAUCGAAGCCCCGGUAAACGGCGGCCGUAACAAUAACGGUCCUAAGGUAGCGAAAUUCCUUGUCGGGUAAGUUCCGACCUGCACGAAUGGCGUAACGACAGCCACACUGUCUCCACCCAAGACUCAGUGAAAUUGAAAUCGCUGUGAAGAUGCAGCGUACCCGCGGCAAGACGGAAAGACCCCGUGCACCUUUACUACAGCUUUACACUGGACUUUGAAUUUAACUGUGUAGAAUAGGUGGGAGGCGUUGAAGCGAGUUCGCUAGAACUUGUGGAGCCGACCGGUGAAAUACCACCCUGUUGAAGUUGAAGUUCUAACCUAGGGCCCUCAACGGGUUUGGGGACAGUGUAUGGUGGGUAGUUUGACUGGGGCGGUCUCCUCCUAAAGAGUAACGGAGGAGCACGAAGGUACCCUCAGCGCGGUCGGACAUCGCGCAUUGCGUGUAAUGGCACAAGGGUGCUUGACUGCGAGACAAACACGUCGAGCAGGUGCGAAAGCAGGUCAUAGUGAUCCGGUGGUUCCGAAUGGAAGGGCCAUCGCUUAACGAAUAAAAGGUACGCCGGGGAUAACAGGCUGAUACCGCCCAAGAGUUCAUAUCGACGGCGGUGUUUGGCACCUCGAUGUCGGCUCAUCACAUCCUGGGGCUGAAGCAGGUCCCAAGGGUAUGGCUGUUCGCCAUUUAAAGUGGUACGCGAGCUGGGUUCAGAACGUCGUGAGACAGUUCGGUCCCUAUCUGCCGUGGGCGCUGGAGAUUUGAGAGGAGCUACGCCUAGUACGAGAGGACCGGCGUGGAGGUACCGCUGGUGGUCCGGUUGUUUCGCCAGAAGCAUAGCCGGGUAGCUACGUACCGACAGGAUAACCGCUGAAAGCAUCUAAGCGGGAAGCCUCCCUCAAGAUAAGAUCUCCCGAGGAUUUAAUCCUCCUAAAGGUCCGUUGAAGACGACGACGUAGAUAGGUGGGGUGUGUAAGUGCAGUAAUGUAUUGAGCUAACCCAUACUAAUUGACCGUGUGGCUUGAUUUG
rnacentral:rRNA from 1 species